UGUGGUUCAUGACUGGGGUGAAGUCGUAACAAGGUAGCCCUAGGGGAACCUGGGGCUGGAUCACCUCCUUACCUAAAGA
rnacentral:rRNA from 3 species